rnacentral:rRNA from 2 species
GGACUACUGGGGUUUCUAAUCCCGUUUGCUCCCCUGGCUUUCGUGCCUGAGCGUCAGGAAAUGUCCAGAGACUCGCCUUCGCCACUGGUGUUCCUCUCGAUAUCUACGCAUUUCACUGCUACACCGAGAAUUCCAGUCUCCCCUCCAUUCCUCGAGCCAAAUAGUAUUCAAUGCAGUUCCGCAGUUGAGCUGCGGGAUUUCACAUCAAACUUACCUGGCCGCCUACGCACCCUUUACGCCCAGUGAAUCCGAACAACGCUUGGGACCUCUGUAUUACCGCGGCUGCUGGCAC